UUCCUAGUGGAAGUGCACUUACGGUGGUCA
rnacentral:piRNA from 1 species